rnacentral:rRNA from 1 species
ACAGCAGCAGCCGCGGGAAUACGAAGGGUGCAAGCGUUACUCGGAAUUACUGGGCGUAAAGCGUGCGUAGGCGGUUUGUUAAGUCUGCUGUGAAAUCCCCGGGCUCAACCUGGGAAUGGCAGUGGAUACUGGCAAGCUAGAGUGUGUCAGAGGAUGGUGGAAUUCCCGGUGUAGCGGUGAAAUGCGUAGAGAUCGGGAGGAACAUCAGUGGCGAAGGCGGCCAUCUGGGACAACACUGACGCUCAGGUGCGAAAGCGUGGGGAGCAAACAGGAUUAGAUACCCGCGUAGUCCCUGUCUCUUUACA